rnacentral:piRNA from 2 species
AAUCUUUCGCCUUUUACUAAAGA